AAUAAGUGUAGUUUUACACUAUUCAUGUUCAAUAUUUGAUCGUUCGUCUUAUUUAAAAAAAUUUUAUGAUUAGUAUUUUUAUUGCUACUAGAUGAUAAAACAUGAAUAGUAUUUUAUGUGUGACUAAAUAUUUUUAAUUUUUUCACAAAUUUUUAAAUAAGACGGACGGUCAAACGUUGGGCAUGAAUAUCUACAGCUGCACUUAUU
rnacentral:pre_miRNA from 1 species